rnacentral:lncRNA from 1 species
AUGGGAGUCGUCCUCGGAGGGACUUCCCGAAUGACCAUACCGGGGAAUUCAACCGUACUCCGUGCAGCUAUUGUUGUUGAUCCUGCAGAGCCUACCCAAAGGUUCAGGCCGGAUUGUAGGAAGUGGGCGAUACGUUUUUGUAUUUCUAUGAGAAGCUCUACGGCAACCACGAUUCCCAGUAGUAAGUCAUCGGCAUAUCGCACAUAA